GUUGCAUUUCAGUUGGAUCCUGAAAGGAAUCUCUUUAGCAGUUUAAUGAAGACUAUGGAUCCCUUCUCAGAAUAAUACCUGUAAAUGCAUAAAAUAAAAUACAGAGGAGGACAAGAUGGCCGACUAGAAGCAGACAAGUGGAACGGCUCCCUCGACCACCAUGGACACUUGAGGUAGCAGGGAGAGCUACUUAGAGAAGUGGGGGGCAGCAAGCCAGCUGAUGUGGAGCCCAGAGGGUUUGGUGCCAGAGUAUUUGUAGUGGAGCACAGCCAGGGAUGGCCAUCCCUCUAGGCUUGACUUGCUCUCUUAAGAGACUUUAGCUCCAGGGAAGCUGUCAGACCUGAUCUCUGCAGGGCAGUCUUGCACAUCAGAUGGGGCUGGUCCAACCUGAGCACUUCUUGGUUUGCUGGCCUUUCCCGGG
rnacentral:lncRNA from 1 species